GAUGAACGCUAGCUACAGGCUUAACACAUGCAAGUCGAGGGGAAACGACAUCGAAAGCUUGCUUUUGAUGGGCGUCGACCGGCGCACGGGUGAGUAACGCGUAUCCAACCUGCCCACCACUUGGGGAUAACCUUGCGAAAGUAAGACUAAUACCCAAUGACGUCUCUAGAAGACAUCUGAAAGAGAUUAAAGAUUUAUCGGUGAUGGAUGGGGAUGCGUCUGAUUAGCUUGUUGGCGGGGUAACGGCCCACCAAGGCGACGAUCAGUAGGGGUUCUGAGAGGAAGGUCCCCCACAUGGGAACUGAGACACGGUCCAAACUCCUACGGGAGGCAGCAGUGAGGAAUAUUGGUCAAUGGACGAGAGUCUGAACCAGCCAAGUAGCGUGCAGGAUGACGGCCCUAUGGGUUGUAAACUGCUUUUAUAAGGGAAUAAAGUGAGUCUCGUGAGACUUUUUGCAUGUACCUUAUGAAUAAGGACCGGCUAAUUCCGUG
rnacentral:rRNA from 1 species